UACGUAGGGCGCAAGCGUUGUCCGGAAUUACUGGGCGUAAAGCGCGCGUAGGCGGCUUUGUAAGUUAGAGGUGAAAGCCCGGAGCUCAACUCCGGAACUGCCUUUAAGACUGCAUCGCUAGAAUUGUGGAGAGGUGAGUGGAAUUCCGAGUGUAGAGGUGAAAUUCGUAGAUAUUCGGAAGAACACCAGUGGCGAAGGCGACUCACUGGACACAUAUUGACGCUGAGGUGCGAAAGCGUGGGGAGCAAACAGG
rnacentral:rRNA from 1 species